rnacentral:tRNA from 1 species
GGCCUCUUAGCUCAGUUGGCUAGAGCGUUUGCUGUUCUAAGGCCUUCCACUUGCUGCAGUGGGUUCUAAUCCCACCGAGGCCA